rnacentral:rRNA from 1 species
CCUACGGGAGGCAGCAGUGAGGAAUAUUGGUCAAUGGGCGCGAGCCUGAACCAGCGAAGUAGCGUGAAGGAUGACUUACCUACGUGUUGUAAACUUCUUUUAUAAAGGAAUAAAGUGAGGCACGUGUGCCUUUUUGUCUGUACUUUAUGAAUAAGGAUCGGCUAACUACGUGCCAGCAGCAGCGGUAAUACGGAGGAUCCGAGCGUUAUCCGGAUGUAGUGGGUUUAAAGGGAGCGUAGAUGGGUUGUUAAGUCAGUUGUGAAAGUGUGGGGCUCAACCGUAAAAUUGCAAUUGAUACUGGGAGGCUUGAGUACAGUUGAGGUAGGUGGAAUUCGUGGUGUAGCGGUGAAAUGCUUAGAUAUCACGAAGAACUCCGAUUGCGAAGGCAGCUUACUAAACUGCCACUGACGUUGAUGCUCGAAAGUGUGGGGAUCAAACAGGAUUAGAUACCCGUGUAGUC